ensembl:snoRNA SNORD21 Small nucleolar RNA SNORD21
GCUUGAUGAUGAUACGUUAUUAGACUGAGCAAACUGUAGUUGGUCCUUCGUUUGCACAGUUGAUGUUAGCCUGUUUCAAGACGGGACUGAGAGCAGC